UAUUUCGAUAUUUAAGUCGAUAAUUGAGACAAGAUACCGAAGACUUGUCUACCAAUACCAUCCAUUUUGGUUCGUCUCCAUUCCUGUAUUUUUGGCAAGCAGUGAAGGAGGGAGACAGCAGAGUGCGUCACAACAGUGUUUCUAUAAAAGGAGCUGUGGAAAAAACAAGGACAACCUCACAACCGUAGACCACAUGUAACCGCAACAGAUCAGGACCUCCACAUCCGGAGCAGCCACAUGGACAACUGGUGCAGAAAUUGGAUUUGCACAACCGAAGAAUG